GACUUCCAAACCAGCUCAGCCAUUCAAACAGACCACUUACAGCUCCUGAACAAACCAUGAGUUCUGACGACGAAAAAGUAUUUGACACUUGCAUGAAAAUAUGGCGUGUGAAGAGCAAACGCAAAAAAAAACAAGCCUCUGAUAACUUCUUAGGCAAAGUUGCAAACAUAGCAAGUGCAGCCACUGAAAACAAUAAAGAGAAACUCCAGGAAGCAGUCCUCAAAAAAGGUGGCCGUUACCUUUUUCGCCGUUGGUUUGGCAGCAAUGACGAAUAACUGGAGGAGCUGAGCAGACGCUGAGCAGGAGGAUCCCGAGCGUGAUCAAUCUGUGCUGAGUAAAGGGUUUCUGGACACAACACAACAGCUAAGAUGAGUUCAGCUCCUGUCAGGAACACUAUAAGCAGACGUCAUCAUGACGACCAUCACAACUGUACAGAACAACACAGCUUCAGCCGUCUUCUAGAAUGCGUCUAUAUAAUAUAUGAAGUCAGAGUUAUUCUCCCCCUGUAUAUUUUACCCCAGUUUCUGUGUAACAGAGAGCAGAUUUCUCCACACAUCUCUAAUCAUAACAUAACUCAACAUAACUCUGACUUCAUCUGUAUAUAUUUAUUCCUCUGCAAUGCUUUCUAGUUUAUGAACAUCCUUCAUUUAAUAUGUCUGAUAUUUGCUGUGACGGAUGAUGCAACACUCCUUUAUGCAUUAAUUUCUAUUAUUCUAAAUGGAUUAAUCUUUUGAAUCUCUCUUGUACUUUUUAUUGAUUGUUGAUUUUGAAUAAAUGUUCUAUUGGUGUUUUGCCUUUAGUCAAACCUUUUAACUUGUAUUUAAUGUCUACAAUGCAAAUCCAGUCAGAUCCUCUUUAUCUGGUAAACAAAGCAAGUGUCUGAUAUAAUAUCUCUACUGAAAGACAGAAUAUAUGACUGCACACACUGUAUUGUACAUAAACCAGAUGAACAUUUACACAUUAGUCAAUAAUAUUACUGUAAUUAAUGUAAAAACUGAAUAAAUAUAGAUGUACACACAUUUACACACGUCAAUAAACUGAAUCAAUGAUGAGCUC
ensembl:lincRNA si:dkey-33c14.3 si:dkey-33c14.3